rnacentral:rRNA from 1 species
UACGUAGGGUGCAAGCGUUGUCCGGAAUUAUUGGGCGUAAAGAGCUCGUAGGCGGUCUGUCACGUCGGACGUGAAAAUCCAGGGCUCAACCCUGGACCUGCGUUCGAUACGGGCAGACUAGAGUGCGGUAGGGGAGACUGGAAUUCCUGGUGUAGCGGUGAAAUGCGCAGAUAUCAGGAGGAACACCGGUGGCGAAGGCGGGUCUCUGGGCCGUAACUGACGCUGGAGGAGCGAAAGCAUGGGGAGCGAACAGG